UACGAAGGGGCUAGCGUUGCUCGGAAUCACUGGGCGUAAAGCGCACGUAGGCGGAUUGUUAAGUCAGGGGUGAAAUCCUGGAGCUCAACUCCAGAACUGCCUUGAUACUGGCGAUCUCGAGUCCGGGAGAGGUGAGUGGAACUGCGAGUGUAGAGGUGAAAUUCGUAGAUAUUCGCAAGAACACCAGUGGCGAAGGCGGACUCACUGGCCCGGUACUGACGCUGACGGUGCGAAAGCG
rnacentral:rRNA from 1 species